rnacentral:rRNA from 1 species
AGUGGCGGACGGGUGAGUAACGCGUGAGAAUCUGCCUUGGGGUCGGGGACAACCACUGGAAACGGUGGCUAAUACCGGAUAAGCCGAUUGGUGAAAGAUUUAUUGCCCUAAGAGGAGCUCGCGUCUGAUUAGCUAGUUGGUGAGGUAAGAGCUCACCAAGGCAGCGAUCAGUAGCUGGUCUGAGAGGACGAUCAGCCACACUGGGACUGAGACACGGCCCAGACUCCUACGGGAGGCAGCAGUGGGGAAUUUUCCGCAAUGGGCGAAAGCCUGACGGAGCAAGACCGCGUGAGGGAGGAAGGCUCUUGGGUUGUAAACCUCUUUUCUCAGGGAAGAAGCUCUGACGGUACCUGAGGAAUCAGCCUCGGCUAACUCCGUGCCAGCAGCCGCGGUAAUACGGAGGAGGCAAGCGUUAUCCGGAAUUAUUGGGCGUAAAGCGUCCGCAGGUGGCGAUUCAAGUCUGCUGUCAAAGCACGGGGCUUAACUCCGUAAAGGCAGUGGAAACUGAAUAGCUAGAGUGCCGUAGGGGUAGAGGGAAUUCCCGGUGUAGCGGUGAAAUGCGUAGAGAUCGGGAAGAACAUCGGUGGCGAAAGCGCUCUACUGGACGGCAACUGACACUCAGGGACGAAAGCUAGGGGAGCGAAUGGGAUUAGAUACCCC